AUUGAACGCUGGCGGCAGGCCUAACACAUGCAAGUCGAGCGGAUGAAGGGAGCUUGCUCCUGGAUUCAGCGGCGGACGGGUGAGUAAUGCCUAGGAAUCUGCCUGGUAGUGGGGGAUAACGUCCGGAAACGGGCGCUAAUACCGCAUACGUCCUGAGGGAGAAAGUGGGGGAUCUUCGGACCUCACGCUAUCAGAUGAGCCUAGGUCGGAUUAGCUAGUUGGUGGGGUAAAGGCCUACCAAGGCGACGAUCCGUAACUGGUCUGAGAGGAUGAUCAGUCACACUGGAACUGAGACACGGUCCAGACUCCUACGGGAGGCAGAGUGGGGAAUAUUGGACAAUGGGCGAAAGCCUGAUCCAGCCAUGCCGCGUGUGUGAAGAAGGUCUUCGGAUUGUAAAGCACUUUAAGUUGGGAGGAAGGGCAGUAAGUUAAUACCUUGCUGUUUUGACGUUACCAACAGAAUAAGCACCGGCUAACUUCGUG
rnacentral:rRNA from 1 species